AUCGAUGUCUACCUCUAUGAGGUCGACAUCAAACCCGACAAGUGUCCUCGAAGAGUGAACAGAGAAGUAGUUGACUCAAUGGUUCAGCAUUUUAAAGUGACUAUAUUUGGAGACCGUAGACCAGUUUAUGAUGGAAAAAGAAGCCUUUACACAGCCAAUCCACUUCCUGUGGCAACUACUGGGGUAGAUUUAGAUGUUACUUUACCUGGGGAAGGUGGAAAAGAUCGCCCUUUCAAGGUGUCAGUGAAGUUUGUGUCCAGAGUCAGUUGGCACCUACUACAUGAAGUUCUGACUGGUCGGACUUUGCCUGAGCCACUGGAAUUAGACAAGCCAAUCAGCACUAACCCGGUCCAUGCCGUUGAUGUGGUGCUCCGACAUCUGCCCUCUAUGAAAUAUACGCCUGUGGGGCGCUCCUUUUUCUCAGCUCCAGAAGGAUACGACCACCCUCUUGGAGGGGGCAGGGAAGUAUGGUUUGGAUUCCAUCAAUCUGUUCGGCCUGCCAUGUGGAAAAUGAUGCUCAAUAUUGAUGGACUCCCCAAGCUCUGUGUGAUGUUUGGCUGUUCAUCUCUCAUCUGUUUCCUCCACUCCUGGAUGGAGUCUCUCAGACAGUUAUGCUAGGCUCCUGUCUGCAAGCAUAGCAAAAGUAUGAUCAGUAGUGUCAUGGGCUGGCUCGCUCACAUGGGAUGGGUCUCAGUUGGGACAGUCACUGGUUCACUGUCCCCUCAGUCUGCUCCAUCUUUGUCCCUGUGCAUCCUACAGGCAGGACACAUUUUGGGUUGAAGGUUUUGUGGGUGGGCUGAUGUCCC
rnacentral:lncRNA from 1 species